AUUGAACGCUGGCGGCAGGCCUAACACAUGCAAGUCGAGCGGUAGCACAGAGAGCUUGCUCUCGGGUGACGAGCGGCGGACGGGUGAGUAAUGUCUGGGAAACUGCCUGAUGGAGGGGGAUAACUACUGGAAACGGUAGCUAAUACCGCAUAACGUCGCAAGACCAAAGUGGGGGACCUUCGGGCCUCAUGCCAUCAGAUGUGCCCAGAUGGGAUUAGCUGGUAGGUGGGGUAACGGCUCACCUAGGCGACGAUCCCUAGCUGGUCUGAGAGGAUGACCAGCCACACUGGACCUGAGCCACGGUCCAGACUCCUACGGGAGGCAGCAGUGGGGAAUAUUGCACAAUGGGCGCAAGCCUGAUGCAGCCAUGCCGCGUGUGUGAAGAAGGCCUUCGGGUUGUAAAGCACUUUCAGCGGGGAGGAAGGCGGUGAGGUUAAUAACCUCAUCGAUUGACGUUACCCGCAGAAGAAGCACCGGCUAACUCCGUGCCAGCAGCCGCCGUAACAC
rnacentral:rRNA from 1 species